UUAAUGAAUGAUCUGAACAACUUAAAUUCAUCAUCAAGUCCAUCCCAUAAUUUCACCCCACAACCCAAAUACAUUUAAACAUCACAUU